rnacentral:rRNA from 1 species
UAUGUGAUCGUCUCUCGCAUAUCAAUAAGCGGAGGAAAAGAAACUAACAAGGAUUCCCCUAGUAACGGCGAGUGAAGCGGGAAGAGCUCAAAUUUGAAAUCUUAAAGGGUUUCCCUUUACGAAUCGUAGUUUAAAGAAGUGUUUUCUGUUGAGGUUUUGGUAAAAGUUCUUUGGAAUAGGACAUCAUAGAGGGUGAGAAUCCCGUAUUUGACCUUUACUUUCAACUUUGUGAUACACUUUCAAAGAGUCGGAUUGUUUGGGAAUGCAGUCCAAAAUGGGUGGUAAAUUUCAUCUAAAGCUAAAUAUUGGCGAGAGACCGAUAGCGAACAAGUACCGUGAGGGAAAGAUGAAAAGAACUUUGAAAAGAGAGUUAAACAGUACGUGAAAUUGUCAAAAGGGAAGCGUUUGACACCAGUGUUGUUUUUCUGAAAAUCAAUUAAAGAACUGUUUAUGCUAAGCUGUUUAGACUUUAUCAGCUAUCUGUUUAGUUUUGAGCUUUUCUUUAAUGCACUUUUCAGUUAACAAGUCAACAUCAAUUUCUUUUGCUGUAAAAAAGCUUGAGGAAGGUGGCUUGAGAUUCGUCUUAAGUGUUUAUAGCCUCUUGCCUAUGCAGUCGGAGAGAUUGAGGUCUGCAGCGUAGAUCCUUCGGGGCUAAAUGCAUUUGUGCUAAGUUAUAGCAUUUUAUAGACAACUUGUUGACUAUGAUUUGUCUUGUAGCUUACUCGCUUAUGUUAUUUUACCUACGCUUAGGAUGUUGAGCGCAUGUCUCUCUCU